rnacentral:rRNA from 1 species
AUUGAACGCUGGCGGCAGGCCUAACACAUGCAAGUCGAACGAGUGGCGGACGGGUGAGUAAUGUCUGGGAAACUGCCCGAUGGAGGGGGAUAACUACUGGAAAAGGUAGCUAAUACCGCAUACCCUCGGAUGUGCCAAGAUGGGAUUAGCUUGUAGGUGAGGUAACGGCUCACCUAGGCGACGAGUCCUAGCUGGUCUGAGAGGAUGACCAGCCACACUGGAAAUGAGACACGGUCCAGACUCCCACGGGAGGAAGGAGUGGGGAAUAUGGCACAAUGGUCGCAAGCCUGAUGCAGCAAUGCCGCGUGUAUGAAGAAGGCCUUCGGGUUGUAAAGUACUUUCAGCGGGGAGGCGUUACCCGCAGAAGAAGCACCGGCUAACUCCGUGUCAGCAGCCGCGGUAAUAC